UUAAGCGACUAAGCGUACACGGUGGAUGCCCUGGCAGUCAGAGGCGAUGAAGGACGUGCUAAUCUGCGAUAAGCGUCGGUAAGGUGAUAUGAACCGUUAUAACCGGCGAUUUCCGAAUGGGGAAACCCAGUGUGUUUCGACACACUAUCAUUAACUGAAUCCAUAGGUUAAUGAGGCGAACCGGGGGAACUGAAACAUCUAAGUACCCCGAGGAAAAGAAAUCAACCGAGAUUCCCCCAGUAGCGGCGAGCGAACGGGAGGAGCCCAGAGCCUGAAUCAGCGUGUGUGUUAGUGGAAGCGUCUGGAAAGGCGCGCGAUACAGGGUGACAGCCCCGUACACAAAAAUGCACAUGCUGUGAGCUCGAUGAGUAGGGCGGGACACGUGGUAUCCUGUCUGAAUAUGGGGGGACCAUCCUCCAAGGCUAAAUACUCCUGACUGACCGAUAGUGAACCAGUACCGUGAGGGAAAGGCGAAAAGAACCCCGGCGAGGGGAGUGAAAAAGAACCUGAAACCGUGUACGUACAAGCAGUGGGAGCACGCUUAGGCGUGUGACUGCGUACCUUUUGUAUAAUGGGUCAGCGACUUAUAUUCUGUAGCAAGGUUAACCGAAUAGGGGAGCCGAAGGGAAACCGAGUCUUAACUGGGCGUUAAGUUGCAGGGUAUAGACCCGAAACCCGGUGAUCUAGCCAUGGGCAGGUUGAAGGUUGGGUAACACUAACUGGAGGACCGAACCGACUAAUGUUGAAAAAUUAGCGGAUGACUUGUGGCUGGGGGUGAAAGGCCAAUCAAACCGGGAGAUAGCUGGUUCUCCCCGAAAGCUAUUUAGGUAGCGCCUCGUGAAUUCAUCUCCGGGGGUAGAGCACUGUUUCGGCAAGGGGGUCAUCCCGACUUACCAACCCGAUGCAAACUGCGAAUACCGGAGAAUGUUAUCACGGGAGACACACGGCUGGUGCUAACGUCCGUCGUGAAGAGGGAAACAACCCAGACCGCCAGCUAAGGUCCCAAAGUCAUGGUUAAGUGGGAAACGAGUGUGGGAAGGACCCGAGACAGCCAGGAUGUUGGCUUAGAAGCAGUCCAUCAUUUUAAAGAAAGCGUAAUAGCUCACUGGUCGAGUCGGCCUGCGCGGAAGAUGUAACGGGGCUAAACCAUGCACCGAAGCUGCGGCAGCGACGCUUAUGCGUUGUUGGGUAGGGGAGCGUUCUGUAAGCCUGUGAAGGUGUACUGUGAGGUAUGCUGGAGGUAUCAGAAGUGCGAAUGCUGACAUAAGUAACGAUAAAGCGGGUGAAAAGCCCGCUCGCCGGAAGACCAAGGGUUCCUGUCCAACGUUAAUCGGGGCAGGGUGAGUCGACCCCUAAGGCGAGGCCGAAAGGCGUAGUCGAUGGGAAACAGGUUAAUAUUCCUGUACUUGGUGUUACUGCGAAGGGGGGACGGAGAAGGCUAUGUUGGCCGGGCGACGGUUGUCCCGGUUUAAGCGUGUAGGCUGGUUUUCCAGGCAAAUCCGGAAAAUCAAGGCUGAGGCGUGAUGACGAGGCACUACGGUGCUGAAGCAACAAAUGCCCUGCUUCCAGGAAAAGCCUCUAAGCAUCAGGUAACAUCAAAUCGUACCCCAAACCGACACAGGUGGUCAGGUAGAGAAUACCAAGGCGCUUGAGAGAACUCGGGUGAAGGAACUAGGCAAAAUGGUGCCGUAACUUCGGGAGAAGGCACGCUGAUAUGUAGGUGAAGUCCCUCGCGGAUGGAGCUGAAAUCAGUCGAAGAUACCAGCUGGCUGCAACUGUUUAUUAAAAACACAGCACUGUGCAAACACGAAAGUGGACGUAUACGGUGUGACGCCUGCCCGGUGCCGGAAGGUUAAUUGAUGGGGUUAGCGCAAGCGAAGCUCUUGAUCGAAGCCCCGGUAAACGGCGGCCGUAACUAUAACGGUCCUAAGGUAGCGAAAUUCCUUGUCGGGUAAGUUCCGACCUGCACGAAUGGCGUAAUGAUGGCCAGGCUGUCUCCACCCGAGACUCAGUGAAAUUGAACUCGCUGUGAAGAUGCAGUGUACCCGCGGCAAGACGGAAAGACCCCGUGAACCUUUACUAUAGCUUGACACUGAACAUUGAGCCUUGAUGUGUAGGAUAGGUGGGAGGCUUUGAAGUGUGGACGCCAGUCUGCAUGGAGCCGACCUUGAAAUACCA
rnacentral:rRNA from 1 species